GGAAGGUGUACUUGGACAAA
rnacentral:rRNA from 1 species